UGGCUCAGGAUGAACGCUGGCGGCGUGCUUAACACAUGCAAGUCGAGCGAAGCACUUGCCAUUGACUCUUCGGAAGAUUUGGCAUUUGACUGAGCGGCGGACGGGUGAGUAACGCGUAGGUAACCUGCCUCAUACAGGGGAAUAACAGUUAGAAAUGGCUGCUAAUGCCGCAUAAGCGCACAGGACCGCAUGGUCUGGUGUGAAAAACUGAGGUGGUAUGAGAUGGGCCCGCGUCUGAUUAGGUAGUUGGCGGGGUAACGGCCCACCAAGCCGACGAUCAGUAGCCGACCUGAGAGGGUGACCGGCCACAUUGGGACUGAGACACGGCCCAGACUCCUACGGGAGGCAGCAGUGGGGAAUAUUGCACAAUGGAGGAAACUCUGAUGCAGCAACGCCGCGUGAAGGAAGAAGUAUCUCGGUAUGUAAACUUCUAUCAGCAGGGAAGAUAGUGACGGUACCUGACUAAGAAGCCCCGGCUAACUACGUGCCAGCAGCCGCGGUAAUACGUAGGGGGCAAGCGUUAUCCGGAUUUACUGGGUGUAAAGGGAGCGUAGACGGUGUGGCAAGUCUGAUGUGAAAGGCAUGGGCUCAACCUGUGGACUGCAUUGGAAACUGUCAUACUUGAGUGCCGGAGGGGUAAGCGGAAUUCCUAGUGUAGCGGUGAAAUGCGUAGAUAUUAGGAGGAACACCAGUGGCGAAGGCGGCUUACUGGACGGUAACUGACGUUGAGGCUCGAAAGCGUGGGGAGCAAGCAAGAUUAGAUACCCUGGUAGUCCACGCCGUAAACGAUGAAUAAUAGGUGUCGGGUAGCAGAGCCUUUCGGUGCCGUCGCAAACGCAGUAAGUAUUCCACUUGGGGAGUAAGUUCGCAAGAAUGAAACUCAAAAGGAAUUAACGGGGACCCGCACAAGCGGUGGAGCACGUGGUUUUAAUUUGUAGCUACGCGAAGAACCUUACCUGAUCUUGUCAUCCCGAUGACCGCUUCCUAAUGGAAGCUUUUCUUCGGAACAUCGGUGACAGGUGGUACAUGGUUGUCGUCAGCUCGUGUCGUGAGAUGUUGGGUUAAGUCCCGCAACGAGCGCCACCCCUAUCUUCAGUAGCCAGCAGGUUAAGCUGGGCACUCUGGAGAGACUGCCAGGGAUAACCUGGAGGAAGGUGGGGAGGACGUCAAAUCAUCAUGCCCCCCUAUGAUUUGGGCUACACACGUGCUACAAUGGCGUAAACAAAGGGAAGCGAGAUCGUGAGAUGGAGCAAAUCCCAAAAAUAACGUCCCAGUUCGGACUGUAGUCUGCAACCCGACUACACGAAGCUGGAAUCGCUAGUAAUCGCGGAUCAGAAUGCCGCGGUGAAUACGUUCCCGGGUCUUGCACUCACCGCCCGUCA
rnacentral:rRNA from 1 species